AGAAAAUGGGCCCUCUUGGCCGUCGGGACUUGUACUGUUGGUGACUCCGUCUCCUUAGACGGUGGAGCCUGCGUGACCCAGAAAGGCCGCCUCGGGACCCAGACCAGGAUUUCCAUCAGCUCCCCUGGCUCGCAGGCCUUCUGACUUCUGACUCACCAUCAGCUCUCCUGGAUCCAGCUUGCCAAUGGCAGAUCGUGGGACUCCUUGCCCUCUAAUCGCAUGAAACAAUGCCCACAGUUGAUUCCAGAUCCUGGCUACUGUGCAUAGUGCUGCAGUCAACAUGGGAGUGCCGAUAUCUCUUCAAUAUACUGAUUUCCUUUUCCUUGGGUAUCUACCUAACAAGAUGGUGAGCUCCUUAGAGGGAAGUAUAGUACAUAUUUCCUCCAUGUCUCCAGUACCCAACACAGUGCCUGACGUUGAGAGGGCUCUUAAUAAGUGUUUGUGAAAGACUGGUAGAGCAAUGCCCUAUGAAACAAGAAGCUGGAUAACACUGCUUAGGACUCAGAGGAGAGAGGAGUGUGGUCUACACUGCACAUCUCUGCCAAGCCUGGCACGGGAUUUGAAGUUCCACACCACUGAGCCAAACACAUCCAGACCCUCUUCCAACCCGGGGAUCUGGUGGUAAGCAAAAUACUAUUCCAGCAAGUGAUGCCCCCAGUCUCCUAAGGA
rnacentral:lncRNA from 10 species